rnacentral:rRNA from 1 species
GCUUAACACAUGCAAGUCGAACGGUGACGACGGAGCUUGCUCUGUCUGAUCAGUGGCGAACGGGUGAGUAACACGUGAGUAACCUGCCCCCGACUCUGGAAUAACCGUGGGAAACGACGGCUAAUACCGGAUAUGAGACGCACGGGCAUCUGUGUGUCUGGAAAGAUUUAUCGGUCAGGGAUGGACUCGCGGCCUAUCAGCUUGUUGGUGGGGUAAUGGCCCACCAAGGCGACGACGGGUAGCCGGCCUGAGAGGGCGACCGGCCACACUGGGACUGAGAUACGGCCCAGACUCCUACGGGAGGCAGCAGUGGGGAAUAUUGCACAAUGGGCGCAAGCCUGAUGCAGCGACGCCGCGUGAGGGAUGAAGGCCUUCGGGUUGUAAACCUCUUUCAGCAGGGAAGAAGCGAAAGUGACGGUACCUGCAGAAGAAGCGCCGGCUAACUACGUGCCAGCAGCCGCGGUAAUACGUAGGGCGCAAGCGUUGUCCGGAAUUAUUGGGCGUAAAGAGCUCGUAGGCGGUUUGUCGCGUCUGCUGUGAAAACCUGAGGCUCAACCUCGGGCUUGCAGUGGGUACGGGCAGACUAGAGUGCGGUAGGGGUGACUGGAAUUCCUGGUGUAGCGGUGGAAUGCGCAGAUAUCAGGAGGAACACCGAUGGCGAAGGCAGGUCACUGGGCCGCAACUGACGCUGAGGAGCGAAAGCAUGGGGAGCGAACAGGAUUAGAUACCCUGGUAGUCCAUGCCGUAAACGUUGGGCACUAGGUGUGGGGCUCAUUCCACGAGUUCCGUGCCGCAGCAAACGCAUUAAGUGCCCCGCCUGGGGAGUACGGCCGCAAGGCUAAAACUCAAAGAAAUUGACGGGGGCCCGCACAAGCGGCGGAACAUGCGGAUUAAUUCGAUGCAACGCGAAGAAC